GAUGAACGCUAGCGACAGGCUUAACACAUGCAAGUCGAACGAGUGGCGAACGGGCGAGUAAUAUAUCGGAACGUACCGAGUAAUGGGGGAUAACCAAUCGAAAGAUUGGCUAAUACCGCAUAUUAUUCGAGCGGCCGAUAACUGAUUAGCUAGUUGGUGGGGUAAAGGCCGACCAAGGCGACGAGCAGCAGCGGGUCUGAGAGGACGAUCCGCCACACUGAAGCUUGGGCACGGCCCAGCCUCCUACGAGCGGCAGCAGUGGGGAAUUUUUGACAAUGGGGGCAACCCUGGUCCCGCCAUGCCGCGUGUAUGAAGAAAGCCUUCGGGUUAUAAAGUACUUUUGUUAGGGCAGCGGUACCUAAAGAAUAAACCCCGGCUAACUACGUGCCAGCAGCCGCGGUAAUAC
rnacentral:rRNA from 1 species